AUUCCACAAGCAAGUGAGUCACCAAAAUAUAAUCUACAAAAGUAGUGCAACAUGUCUAGCAGCAUUUCUCCCAUCAAGUUUGCUUUCUUCAUUAUGUUCUUCAGUGCAAUUAAUAUAUCAUGGAUUCAAGAGAUGACAGUGAUGGCUCAUCGAGAUUUGCCUCUAGAAAUAGCUAUGGUGAAAACAAAACUACUUUCCCUCACAGAUUUCAUUACUUGUGGGACAGAUUGCUCAACUGAUAGUGAUUGUUCUGACGGCUGGCGUUGUACAUAUUGCAAAUAUCAGGAUGAAGUAAGUAUAUUAAUCCCAAUUCCUAUCUACAAGCCUGCUGGCUAUUAUUGUGAAAGUUAAAUCUUUUCUUAAAGAUGUUCCCUAUGUAUAAUUAAAUCUAUGAAUGUGACAUGUGUGACGGUGUGGGAAUUAUAAUGUUUGUCAAGUAAUAAGAUUUUGUGUUAUUUAAUAAUUUCUGUAUAUUUUUCCUUUGAAACUUUAGUGUUUUGAGUGAGAAAGAAAUAAAUGGAGUUGGAAUUAACCUUUGAUAGUUUACAACAUGUAAUAUUAGUAAUUCACCUUGUGGUUUUCAGUCAUUCGUAAUAAAUAUUUAUUAUUGUC